GUUGGCUCCUCGUUUUAUCGGUCCUUUUCGUAUCUUACAUAAAGUUAAUCCUGUUUCAAAUGCCUUGGAUCUUCCUAGGAACCUACGUAUUCCGAACGUCUUUCACACCUCCUUGUUUAAACUCCUCCUGUGUAACCGUUAUAUCCGGCAUGUUCCUCCUCCCCCUCCUGUUUCUGUGGAGGGUCAUGAGGAAUUCGAAGUAGCUGCUGUGCUUGACUCUCGUUUCUCAGGGGUCGCCUCCAGUACCUGGUGCAUUGGAAGGGUUAUGGGCCUGAGGAACGCAGUUGGAUUUCCGCUGACGCUGUUCACGCUCCUCACCUUGUGCGUUCCUUCCAUUCUCGUUUUCCUGCCAGGCCUGGUCCUCCCCGCAGGUGGACGUGUCUUCG